GGAAGAAAAUGCUAAGUUGAAACAGCAAGCAGAAGUGAGAGUCGAUCUUUUAUUUUCCAAAAUUAUAUAUCAUUUCUCGCAUUCAUGCAUUGGAAUUCAGUAGUAAAUUUCGCAUUCUCAAGUCAUAAAGUGAGCUGUUUAUGCAGAAAUCUGAAGGUACUGGAAAUGCUAUUGAGCAAAGCAAUUCAUCCGAGUGUAUCACCAAUUCUCAUGGCUCUGAUACUUCCCUCCGGCUGGGGUACUUGAUUUUCAUUAAAUUCAUGUGACCUAAUUCAAAUUUACACAAAAAAGUAUUGUCUUAGUAGGCUGUAGUCUCUGAUCUUUUUGACUGUAUGCUUAUGUUAAUUUUGGCAGCUUACCUUUCUCCAACUGAAGAUGAUGCCAGGAGACUACAGCCCAGAAGGAUAAUUGUCUAUUUUUCCUAUUUGGAUAUAAUUAUAAAUUGUUGUGUAAGUGAGUUGAGUGUUAGGGGCCAAUGUUGUGGAUUUACGUGGCUUCUGAAAAUUUAAAUCUUGUUUUGAAUUUGCUUGUGCUAUAUAUUUAUGAUGAAAUCAUGCUAUUGAAAUCAUACUAUCCAAGGAAAUUAUACGAGGUACAUAAAAGUGAAA
rnacentral:lncRNA from 1 species